GAUGAACGCUGACAGAAUGCUUAACACAUCAGCAAUUGAUUGGUGGCGGAAGGGUGAGUAACGCGUAAAGAACUUGCCUCACAGGUAGGGACAACAUUUGGAAACGAAUGCUAAUACCUAAUCCUGUGAGAGAGCUUUGCGUCCCAUUAGCUAGUUGGAGAGGUAACGGCUCACCACGGCGAUGAUGCGUAGCCGGCCUGAGAGGGUGAUCGGCCACAAGGGGCCUGGGACACGGCCCUGACUGCUACGGGAGGCAGCAGUGGGGACUAAUGGACAACGGUCCAAAGUCUGAUCCAGCAAUUCUGUGUGCACGAUGAAGUUUUCGGAAGGGAAAUGGCUUUCAGUUGGGAAGCGGUACCAACAGAAGAAGGGACGGCUAAAUACGUGCCAGCAGCCGCGGUAAUAC
rnacentral:rRNA from 1 species